rnacentral:rRNA from 1 species
GGGUUAGUAAGUUGGUCGUGCCACUGGUAUGUACUGGCUUUACUGAUUCCUCCUUCUUGUAGAACCGUAAUGCCAUUAAGUUGGUGUUGCGGGGAAACAGGACUGUUACUUUGAAAAAAUUAGAGUGUUUAAAGCAAGCUAACGCUUGAAUACAUUAGCAUGGAAUAAUGAAAUAGGACG